UACGUAGGGAGCAAGCGUUGUUCGGAUUUACUGGGCGUAAAGGGCGCGUAGGCGGCAAUUCAAGUCAGCUGUGAAAUCUCCGGGCUUAACUCGGAACGGUCAGCUGAUACUGCUUUGCUAGAGUGCGGAAGGGGCAAUCGGAAUUCUCGGUGUAGCGGUGAAAUGCGCAGAUAUCAGGAGGAACACCGAUGGCGAAGGCAGGUCUCUGGGCCAUAACUGACGCUGAGAAGCGAAAGCCAGGGGAGCAAACGGG
rnacentral:rRNA from 1 species